AUUGAACGCUGGCGGAAUGCUUUACACAUGCAAGUCGAACGGCAGCACGGGGGCAACCCUGGUGGCGAGUGGCGAACGGGUGAGUAAUACAUCGGAACGUGCCCAGUCGUGGGGGAUAACGUAGCGAAAGUUACGCUAAUACCGCAUACGAUCUACGGAUGAAAGCGGGGGACCGUAAGGCAUCGCGCGAUUGGAGCGGCCGAUGUCAGAUUAGGUAGUUGGUGAGGUAAAGGCCCACCAAGCCGACGAUCUGUAGCUGGUCUGAGAGGACGACCAGCCAAACUGGGACUGAGAACCGGCCCAGACUCCUACGGGAGGCAGCAGUGGGGAAUUUUGGACAAUGGGCGCAAGCCUGAUCCAGCCAUUCCGCGUGCAGGACGAAGGCCUUCGGGUUGUAAACUGCUUUUGUACGGAACGAAAAGGCUCUGGUUAAUACCUGGGGCUCAUGACGGUACCGUAAGAAUAAGCACCGGCUAACUACGUGCCAGCCGCCGCCGUAA
rnacentral:rRNA from 1 species